rnacentral:rRNA from 1 species
GACGAACGCUGGCGGCGUGCCUAAAACAUGCAAGUAGAACGCAGUUGCGAACGGGUGAGUAACGCGUAGGUAACUGCCUGGUAGCGGGGGAUAACUAUUGGAAGCGAUAGCUAAUACAGCAUACUAACAGAUGGAACUGCUUUGUAUUAGCUAGCUGGUGAGGUACCGGCGCACCAAGGCAACGAUACAUAGCAGACCUGAGAGGGUGAUCGGCCACACUGGGACUUAGAAACGGCCCAGACCCCUACGGGAUGCAGCAGUAGGGAAUCUUCGGCAAUUGACGGAAGGCUGACCGAGCAACUCCGGGUGAGUGAAGAAGGUUUUCGGAUCGUAAAGCUCUUUUGUAAGAGAAGCGGUAUCUUACCAGAAAGGGACGGCUAACUACGUGCCAGCAGCCGCGGUAAUAC